UACAGAGGGGGCAAGCGUUGUUCGGAAUUACUGGGCGUAAAGGGCGCGUAGGUGGCCUUCUAAGUUGAACGUGAAAUCCCUGGGCUCAACCCAGGAACUGCGUCCAAGACUGGGAGGCUUGAAUCCGGGAGAGGGAUGCGGAAUUCCAGGUGUAGCGGUGAAAUGCGUAGAUAUCGGGAGGAACACCUAUGGCGAAGGCAGCUCGCUGGGACGUUACUGACGCUGAGACGCGAAAGCGUGGGGAGCAAACAGG
rnacentral:rRNA from 1 species